ensembl:lncRNA
GUAGUGACAUCAGGAAGGCUGGCAGGAAGAGUCAAAGUCCAGCCAGCCAAGAGACGAGUGACUCUAAGUCCAGGACCAACAGCCUGCCCUGAGCCAGCCUACUCUCUGUACUCCACAGACUCUGAAGACCAGGUCACUUCUCUCCAUAAGGGUCUGGACCGAUGUGCUGCCUUGCUUAGUGGCAUCCUUCAGGCUGAGAAGGCAGGUUAGAUAACAUGGUCAUGAAAUGCUGAAACACAAUCAGUUGAUUGAUUGUGUUUAUUUUAUUUGUUUAAUGAUUGAGAGAUUAAUAAUCAACACUAUUCCAUAACUCCUUUUUUGUGUGUGUGUGUGUGUGUGUGUGUGUGUGUGUGUGUGUGUGUGUGUGUGUGUGUGUGUGUGUGUGUGUGUGUGUGUGUGUGUGUGUGUGUGUGUGUGUGUGUGUGUGUGUGUGUGUGUGUGUGUGUGUGUGUGUGUGUGUGUGUGUGUGUGUGUGUGUGUGUAAGCCAUGCCAAGCCUUCCCACAGCAGUGAUGGGUGGAGCAACCAAAUCCAGACCAUCUACCUCACUGGGUAAGAGGACUGUCAAGAAACUACCUACACAGACAGGCCAGAGGAGCUGUCAUUCAGUCCAGCGUGCACCAGGAAGCACGACUCCAAGAGCAACACGUCAGCCUACUGUUCCAGCUGCACAUUCAGGCGUAAAGCUCCACCCACCUCAGAAACGACCUCACACCCCGCUGCAGUCUCACUUACCUGCAUCACAACGCCAAACCUUCUCCGCUGCUACUCCUCCACCUGACACCUCCACCCCUCCACCCCAUCCUCACUUAGACCGGCUGCCUCUCCCCCAGACUGACUGCCGGUCUGACUCUGAAGCCCUGCGUACAGACUGUAGGGAAGAGUUUGAUCGAGAAGAGGAGGACUUUGUUCCAGUGAAAGACAUCAAUACCCAAAGCACGGCCACAGACACACACACAGCUGUCAGACACACACACAUACACACCUGUACCAUGAAGAUGUCAAAAAUGCAGCUGGAGUCUGGACAGGUUGAUAAAGUCCCUCAGGAUGCACACAGCAUGGAGGACUGCAGCGCAGAAACAGAAGUGAAAGUGAAGACUGUUCACUAUCUGCUGAGAGAGCUCAAGGCUCUAAUCACUGGACAAGGCAGUGUAGCAGAGAGGCUGAUCAGUCAUUUGGAGCAGACUGUGUCUGUACCACAGGUGAAUGGUGACAGUUCAAACAUCCAGAGUGAACCGGACCUAUCAUCACUACACAGCCAGAACACUCUGCUGCGCAGGCGUGUGAAGACUCUGCAGCAGCAGUUGAAAGAGAGGGAGAAGGCAGAGAGACAACAGAAUAUGGAGACACUCUUUAACUCAGAAGUGUUUACACUCCAGGAGGAGCUCACUGUAGCUCAGUCCCAACUGCAUGAAGUCCAGGAGGAGCUUGCAGAACUACAGAAAGCCCUUCAGGACACACAGAGCCAGCUAAGAGACAGAGACGCGCAGAAUGCCCUUAUCAUGACAGAGUUGGAGGCUACUAGAAGCAAGUUGCUGAACAGUGAGAGAGAGAAAAGUGAGUUGGCCUUGCUCGCCCAGCAACGACUGGAAGAGAUCGGACACUUGAGCAGGACUCUUCAGAGUCAGAAUCCAUCAGAAUGUUAUAAAGUUGUUGACAGCUCAGUGUCAGACACUCUGGUUCUAAAACAUUUUGAACAACACCAGCACAGACAAGAUCCAGCAGAGCCUCCCACUGACCGCAUCACCCAGUACCUGAUGUCUCUAGGUCAGCCGGAGCCCGCAGAGAGAGAAGGAAACACACUAGAGCAAAAGAAACUGACCUUAGUCAAGCUGAGAGACACAUUAUCACGUCCCGAUGUAAAACCUAAAGAGACUUCAGCCUGUCACCAAAACCCUCACAUCGACCAAUCGCAUCAUUCUGACAAAAUCUGGUUAUGUGGUCGACUGUUGAACUCCACGUUGUCCCAGUGUGAUGUGGAAUCUGUGUGGUCCAAUUGUAGCGUGAGGUCAGGGUCGACCUUUGACACCAGAGACGAGGCAGCGUUCAGAGAUGGCCUGUCGGCUCUGGAUGCGAGCAUUGCCAGUCUGCAGAAGACUAUUCAGCUGGAUCUGGGGAGGUGA